UGGGGAAUUUUGGACAAUGGGGGCAACCCUGAUCCAGCCAUGCCGCGUGAGUGAAGAAGGCCUUCGGGUUGUAAAGCUCUUUCGGUAGGAACGAAACGGUUACGGCUAAUACCCGUGACUACUGACGGUACUUACAGAAGAAGCACCGGCUAACUACGUGCCAGCAGCCGCGGUAAUACGUAGGGUGCGAGCGUUAAUCGGAAUUACUGGGCGUAAAGCGUGCGCAGGCGGUCUCGUAAGCUGGGUGUGAAAGCCCCGGGCUUAACCUGGGAACGGCAUUCAGGACUGCGAGGCUCGAGUGUGGCAGAGGGAGGUGGAAUUCCACGUGUAGCAGUGAAAUGCGUAGAGAUGUGGAGGAACACCGAUGGCGAAGGCAGCCUCCUGGGCCAGCACUGACGCUCAGGCACGAAAGCGUGGGGAGCAAACAG
rnacentral:rRNA from 1 species